UGUGGGAGCGAGCUUGCUCGCGAUAGCGGUGUGUCAGUUAGCACAAAGGCUGCUGACCCAACGCAAUCGCGAGCAAGCUCGCUCCCACA
rnacentral:misc_RNA from 1 species